CAGUACUCACUUGAGCACAUCCCAAAAGAAUAACAUUUCAAAUGUAACUAGAAAAAAGUAUGCUGAAGUUCGCAAUACAGAAAUAAUUAUUAAUAAGAUAGCUUUAAAGCCCUGCUCAGCUUUUGAAUGUUGGGAAUUGACCCAGAGGUGGCUGUAACCUAAGAUGGUUCCUUCAGUAAUGACCAUUUUUUCUUUUUCAAGAUGAUGAUUAUUCCCCACCUUCUAAGAGACAAAGACCAACGAGCCACCACAGCCACCAGUCCCAGAACCCGCCAAUGCUGGGGAACGGAAAAUGAGGGAGUUCAACUCUGGCCCUCACAAUCCAGUGGAGGAGACGAAACUCAUCUGCCUCUGUCCCUCUGGGCACGCCUCAUGCCAGGUGCAUCUGUGGACAGGGGCCAUGCUCCUGGGCUUCCAAAGUUGGAGAAAGCUGCCAGGCUCAGGUCUGAAGGCCAGAAUUCUACAGUAAGUCCUACUGAGUCAAGGUGGGAGCAGGGUCGGUGGCUUCCGAGGCUCUGCGGGAGAAUCCGUUUCCUGGCCGUAGAGGUGGCCUGCACUCCUCAGCUUGUGCUGCCCGUCUCGAAUGACUGGAGUUUCCUGCUUCUGUCACUACACCUCCCACCCUCUCCAUCACCUGCUCUGCUCUUACAAGGAUCCGAAGAAAUGGAAUCAUCGUAUCGCUGAUCUACGUAAACAAACUGAAGAAUUGUCUGAAAGAAAAUAUGGUAUGUCUAAACUGGAAAAAUCCUGUAAUCUUAUGUUCAUGGGCGUUUACACAAUGGAGUUACUGUUCAUCAUGGGGGUACCGUGGACAAGCCCAGGGCUGCCGG
rnacentral:sRNA from 1 species